rnacentral:rRNA from 1 species
CAGUCGCACGGGAAUACAGAGGGUGCAAGCGUUAAUCGGAAUUACUGGGCGUAAAGCGCGCGUAGGUGGUUUGUUAAGUUGGAUGUGAAAUCCCCGGGCUCAACCUGGGAACUGCAUCCAAAACUGGCAAGCUAGAGUAUGGUAGAGGGUGGUGGAAUUUCCUGUGUAGCGGUGAAAUGCGUAGAUAUAGGAAGGAACACCAGUGGCGAAGGCGACCACCUGGACUGAUACUGACACUGAGGUGCGAAAGCGUGGGGAGCAAACAGGAUUAGAUACCCCUGUAGUCCCUGUCUCUUAUACA